rnacentral:pre_miRNA from 1 species
CUAGUGCUCCCUUCGUUCCAAAUUACUUGUCUUCGAUUUGUCUAGAUACGGAUGUAUCUAGCACUAAAAUGAGUCUAGAUACAUCCGUAUCUAGACAAAUAAUUCAGAACGGAGGAAGUAGUAC